rnacentral:lncRNA from 1 species
AUGGAAAGUGGAGAAGCCAGAGCUGCCUCUCAGCUUUCCGCAGUCCUCCAGGAGAAUCCUGUGUGGGAAGCACCCUGGGAACAGGGUUUCUGUGCCAGGGCAGGGGAAUUCAGAGCCCUUUCCUCCUGCGUGGGCCAAGGCUCUGGCCCUGGCCCUUUGCAAAGGCCCUGCAGCUGCCAGAGGGGCCUUUUUGGCUCAGCUGAGAGCAGUCCUGCUGCAAGGCUGUCCUCGAGCUGCUUGGGCUGCACAUGUGCCCAGGGAAUGCUCAUUGCUUGCAGUCUCAGGUGCUGUGGGUGUGCAGGUGUAAGUACUGCAGGAGGGAACAGCUCUGCUGGGGGCAGUUCUCUUUUUCUUGGUGUGUUUUUUAUGUUGAAUGGACGUUCCCUGCCAGCUCUGGGCAGAGCUCUGUACCUGUAUGUGCCACUUGUCUGUGGCAUUGUGGCUCAGGAGGUGGCCAAGGGGAGCUUGGCCGAGCUGUGGGCAGAGGAAUGGCCAUCAGGCCAGGCUGGGGGGUCAGCGGCCGGUCAGUUGCGUUGCGUGGCCGCGGCUCUGGAGGCUUGUGUGGGAGCGUGUGCAGGGCUGGAAGGCUGGGGCUGCCGCCGCUGUGUCCCAGAGCCGGGAAGGCCGGGGCUGGCCCGGCCCUGGCCCGGCCCCGCCAGCUCUGCCAGCUGCCGGCGGGGACACAAAGGGCAGCUCCGAGCUGCGGCCGCUGCGCUGCGGCCGCACAAACGCAGCGCCCGCAGAGCUCCAGGGCAAGGUGCUGGCCCUGGCUCGGGGCUGGGCCGGGGCCAGCGGCAGAAAAUCAACUUGCAGCUUGGGCCCCGCAGCAGGGAGGAGCAGCAAUUGCUGGCUGAGAGAGACUCUUGCCAAGGGCCUGCGGGGCCGGGCCCCAGGGAACGGCUUCCCGCUGCCCGAGGGCAGGCUGAGAUGGGAUGUGGGGCAGCAAUGGUUCCCUGGCAGGGCGCUCAGGGCCUGGCACAGGCUGGCCCCAGAAGCUGCGGCUGCCCCCGCAUCCCUGCAAGUGUCCCAGGCCGGCUCGGCCAUUGGGGCUUCCUGCCCAGGAGGGCUGGGCUGGGCUGGGCUGGGGCUGCUGAGGGCGGGAUGGGCUCUGGCUGA